ensembl:snoRNA
AGGAUGCAAAUGAUGACAGCAUAGUUCAGCAGACAAUCUGUGACGAAUGCUAAUGUCUUUCGCUCCUAUCUGAUGCAUACU